GCGUUGGUAGUGCAAUUGGUUAAGCACGCGCCCCGGAGAAAGAGUGAGAUCCGGGUUUGAUUCCUGUCCGACGUCA